AAAGUUAUGCGGUAUAAUACAACGUAGGUCGACGAAAAAAGCGACAAGUAAAAACGCAUUAUUAGAUAUAGCUCGAAAAGUAGUUGUUAGAUCUCAAAUAAAUUUAAAUGGGACCAAUUGGCACACACCACCUUUCGAUUAAAAGAAAAUUUGUUGAAAUCGCUCCACCCAGUCAAAAGUUCUGAUGUAACAUACAUUAAAAAAAA
rnacentral:misc_RNA from 1 species